rnacentral:tRNA from 1 species
CGGAUAGAAGCAUUAUUGGAAAAUGUGUCUACUUUGGGUGUAGAAGAUGGCUAGUUCGAAUCUAGUCUAUCCGA